CGCAAUGGGCGAAAGCCUGACGGAGCAACGCCGCGUGAGGGACGAAGGCCUCUGGGCUGUAAACCUCUUUUCCCAAGGAAGAAGAUAUGACGGUACUUGAGGAAUAAGCCACGGCUAAUUCCGUGCCAGCAGCCGCGGUAAUACGGGAGUGGCAAGCGUUAUCCGGAAUUAUUGGGCGUAAAGCGUCCGCAGGCGGCUUUUCAAGUCUGCUGUUAAAGCGUGGAGCUUAACUCCAUCAUGGCGGUGGAAACUGAAAGGCUUGAGUAUGGUAGGGGCAGAGAGAAUUCCCGGUGUAGCGGUGAAAUGCGUAGAUAUCGGGAAGAACACCAGUGGCGAAGGCGCCCUGCUGGGCCAUUACUGACGCUCAUGGACGAAAGCCAGGGGAGCGAAAGGGAUUAGAUACCCCUGUAGUCCUGGCCGU
rnacentral:rRNA from 1 species